GACGAACGCUGGCGGCGUGCUUAACACAUGCAAGUCGAACGGAAAGGCCCUGCUUUUGUGGGGUGCUCGAGUGGCGAACGGGUGAGUAACACGUGAGUAACCUGCCCUUGACUUUGGGAUAACUUCAGGAAACUGGGGCUAAUACCGGAUAGGAGCUCCUGCUGCAUGGUGGGGGUUGGAAAGUUUCGGCGGUUGGGGAUGGACUCGCGGCUUAUCAGCUUGUUGGUGGGGUAGUGGCUUACCAAGGCCUUGACGGGUAGCCGGCCUGAGAGGGUGACCGGCCACAUUGGGACUGAGAUACGGCCCAGACUCCUACGGGAGGCAGAGGUGGGGAAUAUUGCACAAUGGGCGGAAGCCUGAUGCAGCAACGCCGCGUGCGGGAUGACGGCCUUCGGGUUGUAAACCGCUUUCGCCUGUGACGAAGCGUGAGUGACGGUAAUGGGUAAAGAAGCACCGGCUAACUACGUG
rnacentral:rRNA from 1 species